rnacentral:lncRNA from 1 species
GUUAGUUCCCAUGCAGUUCUGAAUUGGUCUUUUGAGCUUUUAGCUAUCGCCAAAGCCUCUGACUGUUCUUCUCUCAAGGCACUUCACUGGGCCUGACUGCAGAAGCACUGCCUGGAGGUGUAGGAAACAUCUCACAAAAAUGGAGCUGAAGGCCAUGGUCUCGGAUGAAAGAGGACAGAGCUCAAAAUAGGUUUUGUGUCAGCCCACGCUGUUUCUGGGGUCACAAGAGACAAAUAUUUACCAUUUCUCAUCCUGCACAUUUUUUGGAGGCUGUUACAGAAAAUUGACAACACUCUUCAUCCAUUUGAUCUAAGACUUGCUGAAGGCUGAGACUUGAACUCUUCUGUCUAAAGGAGUUGAGGGUGGAAUUAUUGAACCCAUGGUCAGGACCAGAUCCCCCCUUUUUUCCCUACACCUUAAGUCUGUUCACCUUCUAAUUGUUGCAGACUAAGAUGUCAAUUCAGUCCCUUCCUUUUUCUUUUUCAGGGGCUAUUGACUAUGGUAAAAUCCAGUGUCCUUCACAACAAACAACACUUUCUUUCCCUGGUUCAGAGCAUUUCACAUUCCUUCCAUAUUACUCAGCCUUCUACAGUCAUUUUGAGGCACAGACCUGUAUGUGCCUUCUCCCCUCCCCAUUUUCCUUCUCAUUUUAGACAGGA